AUUGAACGCUGGCGGCAGGCCUAACACAUGCAAGUCGAGCGAGCGGCGGACGGGUGAGUAAUGUCUGGGAAACUGCCUGAUGGAGGGGGAUAACUUCUGGAAACGGUAGCUAAUACCGCAUACCAUCAGAUGUGCCCAGAUGGGAUUAGCUAGUAGGUGGGGUAAUGGCUCACCUAGGCGACGAUCCCUAGCUGGUCUGAGAGAAUGACCAGACACAUUGGAACGGAGGCACAGUCCAGACUCCAUCGGGAGGCAGCAGUGGGGAAGAUUGCACAAUGGGCACAAGACUGAUGCAGCGCUGCCGCGUGUGUGAAGAAGGCCUUCGGGGUGUAAAGCACUUGCAGCGGGGAGGCGUUACCCGCAGAAGAAGCACCGGCUAACUCCGUGCCCGCAGCCGCGGUAAUAC
rnacentral:rRNA from 1 species